rnacentral:lncRNA from 1 species
AGCUCAUCAGCGCAAGGCGUCCCUAGUUAAUUAAUAAUAAGGGUAAACUUAUGAAAGCAUGAGAACUAUAUGAGAACCACAUGUAUGAGAACUAUAUGAGAACCACAUCUGGAUCGUAUAUCUAGAUCUAAUGGUUAGGAAUAUAGUUUAUUAUUUAAAUUAUUUAAAAGUGAAGAUCCCAUACACUUUCAUUUUUUUGUCAUAUUUGGUUUUCAUAUUCACUAGAAACGUUCUUUAAUUAAUAAUUACUGGUCCGUGUUGUAUUGGAUUGGGCCUUAAUAUGGUGGACCGAAACUGGCGUCUUAAUGGGUGGGCCAGUUUCAUUCAAUUUCAUGCAGAUCGG